UAUUUAUGCUAAGCAUGUUAUGGUUUCCAGUGAUCGUUUUCUACCUCUAAACACAUUGUUGUUCAUUAAGUAGGAUCACAGAGAAUUGAUGUGCUAGAGUUACACAUUGCUUCUGGCCAUUUGCCCUGUGUAAAGUAUCAAACAUGUUGCAUGCUAAGCACAACUAUUCAAGGUGAUGCAAGUUGAUGAAUGAUGGUAAUUAUGUUUCACCAGUAUUCAUAUUUUAUAUUGAGUUGCAUGGACGAGGAUUCACGCACCUAAGUACUUAGGUGUUGAAGUUUGAGCCUCUUUUAUGUGCUGUUAUAUCUGUCAUUUCCUGAGCAGUGACAAAAGUACUUCUGGUCCUAACAAAGUUGCUCACAUAAAGAUUUGGGAGUAAAGGGCAUAAGAUGCAUCAAAUCCCAUC
rnacentral:lncRNA from 1 species